UACGUAGGGUCCGAGCGUUGUCCGGAAUUAUUGGGCGUAAAGGGCUCGUAGGCGGUUUUGUCGCGUCGGGAGUGAAAAACGCCAGGCUUAACUUGGCGCUUGCUUUCGAUACGGGCAGACUUGAGGCAUGCAGGGGGAGAACGGAAUUCCUGGUGUAGCGGUGAAAUGCGCAGAUAUUGCUCGGAAGGCCAGAGCCGAAGGGGCCCCCAUUGGUACGUAACUGACGCUGAGGCACGAAAGCGUGGGGAGCAAACAGG
rnacentral:rRNA from 1 species